rnacentral:rRNA from 1 species
CCCUUAGAUGUCCUGGGCUGCACGCGCGCUACACUGAUGUGUCCAGUAAGCACCUAACCUAUUCCGAGAGGAGCGGGUAACCUUAGCAAAGCACAUCGUGAUGGGGAUAGAUUAUUGCAAUUAUUAGUCUUGAACGAGGAAUUCCUAGUAAGCACAAGUCAUCAGCUUGUGUUGAUUACGUCCCUGCCCUUUGUACACACCGCCCGCCGCUCCUACCGAUUGAAUGUUCCGGUGAGCUCUUCGGACUGCGCGGUCUGCAGUUUCUGCGUUCCGUGCGGAAAGUUGUGCAAACCUUAACAUUUAGAGGAAGGAGAAGUCGUAACA